rnacentral:rRNA from 1 species
AUUGAACGCUAGCGGCAUGCCUUACACAUGCAAGUCGAACGAGUGGCGGACGGGUGAGUAAUGUCUUGGAAACUGCCUUAUGGAGGGGGAUAACUACUGGAAACGGUAGCUAAUACCGCAUACCAUCGGAUGUGCCCAGAUGGGAUUAGCUAGUAGGUGGGGUAAAGGCUCACCUAGGCGACGAUCCGUAGCUGGUCUGAGAGGAUGACCAGCCACACUGGAACUGAGACACGGUCCAGACUCCUACGGGAGGCAGCAGUGGGGAAUAGUGCACAAUGGGCGAAAGCCUGAUGCAGCCAUGCCGCGUGUAUGAAGAAGGCCUUCGGGUUGUAAAGUACUUUCAGCGGGGAGGCGUUACCCGCAGAAGAAGCACCGGCUAACUCCGUGCCAGCCGCCGCGGUAAUUC